UUCACUGUUGGUCCUCCAGCAGCUCACUACAAGUCAGAGAUACAGAUAUUGGCACCUAUCAGUACUAUGACAAAGGAGAGCCAGCCGUCCCAUCAGAGCACCACUACUACACUGACAAACAGGAUUU